rnacentral:rRNA from 1 species
UAGGGAAUCUUCCGCAAUGGACGCAAGACUGACGGAGCAACGCCGCGUGAGUGAAGAAGGAUUUCGGUUCGUAAAACUCUGUUGUUAGAGAAGAACAGCGCAUAGAGUAACUGUUAUGCGUGUGACGGUAUCUAACCAGAAAGCCACGGCUAACUACGUGCCAGCAGCCGCGGUAAUACGUAGGUCCCGAGCGUUGUCCGGAUUUAUUGGGCGUAAAGCGAGCGCAGGCGGUUAGAUAAGUCUGAAGUUAAAGGCAGUGGCUCAACCAUUGUAGGCUUUGGAAACUGUUUAACUUGAGUGCAGAAGGGGGGAGUGGAAUUCCAUGUGUAGCGGUGAAAUGCGUAGAUAUAUGGAGGAACACCGGUGGCGAAAGCGGCUCUCUGGUCUGUAACUGACGCUGAGGCUCGAAAGCGUGGGGAGCGAACAGG